rnacentral:rRNA from 1 species
CGUCUAUAUACGUAUAGCAUAUCAAUAAGCGGAGGAAAAGAAACUAACAAGGAUUCCCCUAGUAACGGCGAGUGAAGCGGGAAGAGCCCAAAUUCGAAAUCUUCAAGGGUUUCCCUUGACGAAUUGUAGUUUAAAGAAGUGUUUUCUGUUAGAGAGGUGGUAAAAGUUCUUUGGAAUAGGACAUCAUAGAGGGUGAGAAUCCCGUAUUUGAUCACUUUCUACUAACGUUGUGAUACACUUUCAAAGAGUCGGAUUGUUUGGGAAUGCAGUCCAAAAUGGGUGGUAAAUUUCAUCUAAAGCUAAAUAUUGGCGAGAGACCGAUAGCGAACAAGUACCGUGAGGGAAAGAUGAAAAGAACUUUGAAAAGAGAGUUAAACAGUACGUGAAAUUGUCAAAAGGGAAGCGUUUGACACCAGUGUUGUUUUUCCGAAAAUCAAUUACGAAUGUUUUAUUUUUGAGAAGUUAUGACUUCAUCGGCUUGCUCCUUUCUUUAUGAAACUUUCUUAAUGCACUUUUCGGUUAACAAGUCAACAUCAAUUUCUUUUGUUGUAAAAGGGUAUGAGGAAGGUGGCUUUCUUUUCGGAGAAAGUGUUUAUAGCCUUGUGCCUCUGCAAUCGGAGAGAUUGAGGUCUGCAGCGUAGAUCCUUCGGGGUUAGAUACGUUUGUGCUAAGUUAUAGCUUUUCAUAGACAACUUGUUGACUAUGUUUAGUCUUGUAGCUUACUCGCUAUGCCUAUUUUACCUACGCUUAGGAUGUUGAUAUGCAUGACUGAUAU